rnacentral:rRNA from 1 species
CCCGAAUUCCGAAAGGGGAGAUUCAAGUCUUCUCGCAGACCGGCCUUCCCCGGCUUCCUCAGGGAUGGCCGACUCCGUCGUCCGCUCGCGGUCGUCGGGUCGGUCGCCCGGGCCGGGGCAAGUACGGCCGCGGAGGACCGCACUUCUCUCUCAGUAGGACGUCGCGACCCGUUGGGCGGCGGUCUGAGGCCCGGCGAGGAGCCCGGCCGGGGGCGGCGUUCCGCGUCGCUCCCCGGUCGGACCGCAGGAGCCCGGCCGUCCGCUCGACGGUAUCGAACGACGGUGACGAACCGCUCUCACGCGAGCGUUCCUGCGGCCGCGCGCAAGUCGGGGUCGAAGCGCGUCACGGCGGACCCAGGUCCGGCUGACCCUCGCCCCGACUGUUGGCGCGCCGUGCCCUCGAACAGUGUUCACAACACCGGUCGGCGGCGCUUCAGUUUCGGGCACUUGUCCGACCCGUCUUGAAACACGGACCAAGGAGUCUAACAUGUGCGCGAGUCAUUGGGCGGCAAACCCAAAGGCGGAAUGAAAGUGAAGGGAGCCUUGGCUUUCCGAGGGAGGAUGGGCGCGUCUUGCCGUACACCCCGGCGGCGUCCCGCACUCCCGGGGCGUCUCUUUCUCAUUGCGAGUGGAGGCGCACCCAGAGCGUACACGUUAGGACCCGAAAGAUGGUGAACUAUGCCUGGUCAGGACGAAGCCAGGGGAAACCCUGGUGGAGGUCCGUAGCGAUUCUGACGUGCAAAUCGAUCGUCGGAGCUGGGUAUAGGGGCGAAAGACUAAUCGAACCAUCUAGUAGCUGGUUCCCCCCGAAGUUUCCCUCAGGAUAGCUGGUGCUCGUGAGUAGACGAGUCUCAUCCGGUAAAGCGAAUGAUUAGAGGCCUUGGGGCCGAAACGACCUCAACCUAUUCUCAAACUUUAAAUAGAUGAGAACUCCGGCUUGCUUAAAGAGUGAAGCCGGAGACUCGGAUCAGAGUGCCCAGUGGGCCAAUUUUGGUAAGCAGAACUGGCGCUGUGGGAUGAACCAAACGCGGAGUUAAGGCGCCCGAAUCGACGCUCAUCGGAAACCAUGAAAGGCGUUGGUUGCUUAAGACAGCAGGACGGUGGCCAUGGAAGUCGGAAUCCGCUAAGGAGUGUGUAACAACUCACCUGCCGAAGCAACUAGCCCUGAAAAUGGAUGGCGCUGUAGCGUCGUGCCUAUACUCCGCCGUCAACGGCACAGUGGGCGGUCUUCCCUCCGGGGGAGUCUGCGCCGUUAGGCCUUGACGAGUAGGGGGGUCGCGGCGAUGUGCGCAGAAGGGUCUGGGCGCGAGCCCGCCUGGAGCCGUCGCCGGUGCAGAUCUUGGUGGUAGUAGCAAAUACUCCAGCGAGGCCCUGGAGGGCUGAUGUGGAGAAGGGUUUCUUGUGAACAGCUGUUGCACAAGAGUCAGUCGAUCCUAAGCCCUAGGAGAAAUCCGAUGUUGAUGGGUCGCCGUUAAACAGUACUGCGCCGCACCGGACCCGACCGGCAGUAGACACCGGGGGGUUGGAGUUGGUCGCACGAGUGAGAGCCUAGUGUCAGUCGCCGUUGAUCCGGUGACCCUUCGUUCUCGCCGUGCUUCUUCUUUCCUCCCUCGGGCCCGUCGGCCAGAGUCGGGGACCCGGUGGUUGAUGUGCGAACGGCCGUGUUGUUGGCGCCCGUCGGGCGAAAGGGAAUCCGGUUCCUAUUCCGGAACCCGGCAGCGGAACCGUUCCAAGUCGGGCCCUCGCACGAGAGCUCGUCGGGGUGACCCAAAAAGACCCGGAGACGCCGCCGGGAGAUCCGGGGAGAGUUGUCUCUUCUCUAUAAGCGUUCGAGUUCCCUGGAAACCUCUAGCAGGGAGAUAGGGUUUGGAACGCGAAGAGCACCGCAGUUACGGCGGUGUCCGGAUCUUCCCCGCGGACCUUGAAAAUCCGGGAGAGGGCCACGAGGAACACCGCGCCGGCUCGUACCCAUAUCCGCAGCAGGUCUCCAAGGUGAAUAGCCUCUAGUCGAUAGAAUAAUGUAGGUAAGGGAAGUCGGCAAAUUGGAUCCGUAACUUCGGAAUAAGGAUUGGCUCUGAGGAUCGUGGCGAGCCGGGCUUGGUCGGGAAGUGGAGGCGGUGUCAACGUGCCGGGCCUGGGCGAGGUGAAACGCUACCGGAAAUUCCGAUAGCGCGGAUCCGAGCUCGGUCCCGUGCCUUGGCCACCCACGGAUCUUCCUUGCUGCGAGCCGUCGGCCGUCUAGUCGCCCGUACCCUGCGUCGGGUGGACGGGCCGCCGGUCUCUUCGGCCGCCAUUCAACGAUCGACUCAGAACUGGCACGGACUAGGGGAAUCCGACUGUCUAAUUAAAACAAAGCAUUGCGAUGGCCCCAGCGGGUGUUGACGCAAUGUGAUUUCUGCCCAGUGCUCUGAAUGUCAACGUGAAGAAAUUCAAGCAAGCGCGGGUUAACGGCGGGAGUAACUAUGACUCUCUUAAGGUAGCCAAAUGCCUCGUCAUCUAA